rnacentral:rRNA from 1 species
GACGAACGCUGGCGGCGUGCCUAAUACAUGCAAGUCGAACGAACCGCGACUGAGUGCUUGCACUUGGUCAAGGUGAGUGGCGAACGGGUGAGUAACACGUGGGUAACCUACCUCAUAGUGGGGGAUAACAGUCGGAAACGACUGCUAAUACCGCAUAGGACAUAGGCUCACAUGAUCCAGUGAGGAAAGGUGGCGCAAGCUAUCGCUAAGAGAUGGACCCGCGGUGCAUUAGCUAGUUGGUAGGGUAAAGGCCUACCAAGGCGAUGAUGCAUAGCCGACCUGAGAGGGUGAUCGGCCACAUUGGGACUGAGACACGGCCCAGACUCCUACGGGAGGCAGCAGUAGGGAAUCUUCCGCAAUGGACGCAAGUCUGACGGAGCAACGCCGCGUGAGUGAAGAAGGUCUUCGGAUCGUAAAGCUCUGUUGUUAGAGAAGAACAGCGCAUAGAGUAACUGCUAUGCGUGUGACGGUAUCUAACCAGAAAGCCACGGCUAACUACGCG